CCUACGGGUGGCUGCAGUAGGGAAUAUUGCUCAAUGGGCGAAACCCUGAAGCAGCAACGCCGCGUGGAGGAUGAAGGUUUUCGGAUUGUAAACUCCUUUUGUUAGAGAAGAUAAUGCAGGUAUCUAACGAAUAAGCACCGGCUAACUCCGUGACAGGAGCCGCGGUCAUACGGAGGGUGAGAGCCUUACUCGGAAUCACUGGGCGGAAAGAGCGCGUAGGUUGGAUAGCAAGUCAGAUGUGAAAUCCUAGGGCUUAACCAUAGAACUGCAUUUGAAACUGUUAGACUGGAGUAUGUGAGAGGUAGGUGGAAUUCUUGGUGUAGGGGUAAAAUCCGUAGAGAUCAAGAGGAAUACUCAUGGCGAAGGCGACCUGCUAGAACAUAACUGACGCUGAUGCGCGAAAGCGUGGGGAGCAAACAGGAUUAGAUACCCGUGUAGUC
rnacentral:rRNA from 1 species